GAUGAACGCUGGCGGCGUGCCUAAUACAUGCAAGUCGAGCGAACAGAUGAGGAGCUUGCUCCUCUGACGUUAGCGGCGGACGGGUGAGUAACACGUGGAUAACCUACCUAUAAGACUGGGAUAACUUCGGGAAACCGGAGCUAAUACCGGAUAAUAUAUUGAACCGCAUGGUUCAAUAGUGAAAGACGGUUUUGCUGUCACUUAUAGAUGGAUCCGCGCCGCAUUAGCUAGUUGGUAAGGUAACGGCUUACCAAGGCAACGAUGCGUAGCCGACCUGAGAGGGUGAUCGGCCACACUGGAACUGAGACACGGUCCAGACUCCUACGGGAGGCAGCAGUAGGGAAUCUUCCGCAAUGGGCGAAAGCUUGACGGAGCAACGCCGCGUGAGUGAUGAAGGUCUUCGGAUCGUAAAACUCUGUUAGUAGGGAAGAACAAAUGUGUAAGUAACUAUGCACGUCUUGACGGUACCUAAUCAGAAAGCCACGGCUAACUACGUG
rnacentral:rRNA from 1 species